UAGUUUCAGAAUGCAGCCACAUUUUCGCUAAUUGGUCUCAAUAACCAUCUGCUGUAAUCCUUCCUUUUGUUUAUGCCUUCGAAAGCAUCGUCUUUUCACUCCUAUUCACAUUGUAUAUGAGGGUGCCGCCCAAUAAAGCACCAGGAGCUUGGACGCUA